rnacentral:lncRNA from 1 species
CUUGUAUCCCCUUGGCCCUUACCAGUCAGUCUGACUUCAGGAGGCCAGCCUUCCUCUGCCUAGAGCCCAUGUAUGGGUCACAAACUCAAAGUAUAAGGGUGUUAAGCCAAGCAGCCCUCAACCACUCAGUGGCAGGAGCUGACCCUGCAGUGUUGUCUUCCCAUGAGAUCCUUCCAAACACCCUGCAAGGUGAGGAGGACUAUCACAUGAUACCAAGAGGAGAUUGGAGCUCGGAGAAGCAUGCUGAUUUCUCCAAACCAUGUCCUCUGGCAAAUGUUGUACAUAUAUUAUUUCAAUGACUCUUCAUCACAGCCCAGGAGUUUGGCAGCAUUAUUAUCCCUAUCUCACAAAUGAGAAAACUGAGCCAUACAUGCAAGAGACUGCUAGAUGCUGUAGGGGAUAAAAAGAAAUAUGUACAACAGUACCUGACCUCAACGAGCCUAAAAUUUUGUAGAGCGAGACACACGUAUACACACAUGAAAAUGCAGUCAUUUCUCACUGGAGCCCAGGAGUUCGAGACCAGCCUGGGCAACUUGGCAAAACCUCGUCUGUACAAAAGAUACAAGUGUCAACUUAUCCACAGUCAGCCUUUGGGAUGCUGCAUCUGCACAGAUUUGUGUCACAACCAUGCUGUUACACUCAGCCUUGACUACAUGCGCCUUUCCUCCCAGAUUCUGUUUCUGUUCUUUCUAAAUCUGGCCUUGGUUAGUACUCUAAAUGCACUCAGUUUCUUCAAUGUCUCCUGAGU